AUUGAACGCUGGCGGCAGGCCUAACACAUGCAAGUCGAGCGAACCUAGCUUGCUAGGUGAGCGGCGAACGGGUGAGUAACACGUAGGAAUCUGCCCGAUAGUGGGGGACAACGUCUCGAAAGGGACGCUAAUACCGCAUACGCCCUAAGGGGGAAAGCAGGGGAUCUUCGGACCUUGCGCUAUCGGAUGAGCCUGCGUCGGAUUAGCUAGUUGGGGGGGUAAAGGCCCACCAAGGCGACGAUCCGUAGCUGGUCUGAGAGGAUGAUCAGCCAAACCGGAACUGAGACACGGUCCGGACUCCUACGGGAGGCAGCAGUGGGGAAUAUUGGACAAGGGGGGCAACCCUGAUCCAGCCAUGCCGCGUGUGUGAAGAAGGCCUUCGGGUUGUAAAGCACUUUAAGCUGGGAGGAAGGUUUCUUGGCUAAUAUCCAAGAGAAUUGACGUUACCAGCAGAAUAAGCACCGGCUAACUCCGUGCCAGCAGCCGCGGUAAUAC
rnacentral:rRNA from 1 species